rnacentral:snRNA from 1 species
AUUGCUUCUCGGCCUUUUGGCUAAGAUCAAGUGUACUAUCUGUUCUUAUCAGUCUAAAUACAGGUUUACCUAUCUUAAUCUUUUAGGCUGAUUUUAUUCUAUUUUAAUAAAGCUGACAUGCCAUAUAGGCCACAUGUAGUAGAACAUCACUAUUAGGGUCUGGACCAAU